rnacentral:rRNA from 1 species
AUACUUCCAAGUUCGAAGCGGACAGAAGGGAAGCUCGCUCCCGGAUGUUAGCGGCGGACGGGUGAGUAACACGUGGGUAACCUGCCUGUAAGACUGGGAUAACUCCGGGAAACCGGAGCUAAUACCGGAUAGUUCCUUGAACCGCAUGGUUCAAGGAUGAAAGACGGUUUCGGCUGUCACUUACAGAUGGACCCGCGGCGCAUUAGCUAGUUGGUGAGGUAACGGCUCACCAAGGCGACGAUGCGUAGCCGACCUGAGAGGGUGAUCGGCCACACUGGGACUGAGACACGGCCCAGACUCCUACGGGAGGCAGCAGUAGGGAAUCUUCCGCAAUGGACGAAAGUCUGACGGAGCAACGCCGCGUGAGUGAUGAAGGUUUUCGGAUCGUAAAGCUCUGUUGUUAGGGAAGAACAAGUGCAAGAGUAACUGCUUGCACCUUGACGGUACCUAACCAGAAAGCCACGGCUAACUACGUGCCAGCAGCCGCGGUAAUACGUAGGUGGCAAGCGUUGUCCGGAAUUAUUGGGCGUAAAGGGCUCGCAGGCGGUUUCUUAAGUCUGAUGUGAAAGCCCCCGGCUCAACCGGGGAGGGUCAUUGGAAACUGGGAAACUUGAGUGCAGAAGAGGAGAGUGGAAUUCCACGUGUAGCGGUGAAAUGCGUAGAGAUGUGGAGGAACACCAGUGGCGAAGGCGACUCUCUGGUCUGUAACUGACGCUGAGGAGCGAAAGCGUGGGGAGCGAACAGGAUUAGAUACCCUGGUAGUCCACGCCGUAAACGAUGAGUG